rnacentral:lncRNA from 1 species
CAUCAUCAUACCAUGAAGAAAUAUGGCAUAUCAUGGAUUACUUGGCCAUGAAGAAAGCUUGCGUAUGAAGCAAUUUGAGAAGAUGGAAGAGAGAAAAUUAAAGUGAAGUUGAAGUGGAAUUAGGUUUAGAGUCAAAUUCAGGGUUAAGUUAACUUUGGUCAACUGUUUGACCAAAAAGUCAAUAGUUGACUGGUCAACUGUAGGUCAAACUUAGGUUUUUUUGUGUAGUUUUAAUUUAGACUCUCUGUGUAAUAUGAUUUGAUGUUUAUGUAAUGUAAAUGGCUUCUUUUUUUAAAUGAAUUUUAACUUAUGCUUCAAGUAAUCAAGUUUUUCCCUCCAUAAUUUGAAUUUGAAAUCUUUGAAUUUGCCUUGAAUAUAAACUUGAAUGAAUCUUUGAUUUGAAUUUCCUUGAAUGACUUCCUUUUGAUCCUAGCCCCUUGACUAAAAACCAUG